GAUGAACGCUGGCGGCGUGCCUAAUACAUGCAAGUCGAGCGAACAGACGAGGAGCUUGCUCCUCUGACGUUAGCGGCGCACGGGUGAGUAACACGUGGAUAACCUACCUAUAAGACUGGUAUAACUUCGGGAAACCGGAUCUAAUACCGUAUAAUAUAUUGAACCGCAUGGUUCAAUAGUGAAAUACGGUUUUGCUUUCACUUAUAGACUGAUCCGCGCCGCAUUAGCUAGUUGGUAAGGUAACGGCUUACCAAGGCAGCGAAGCGUAGACGACCUGAGAGGGGGGUAGGCCACACUGGAGCUGGGACACGGUCCAGACGACUACGAGAGGCAGCAGUAGGCAAUCGGACGCAACGGGCGAGAGCAUGACGGAACAACGGCGAGUGAGUUAUGACGGUCUUCGGAUCGUAAAACUCUGUUAUUAGGGAAGAACAAAUGUGGAAGUAACUAUGCACGUCUUGACGGUACCUGAUCAGAAAGCCACGGCUAACUACGUG
rnacentral:rRNA from 1 species